UGCAGUCGAACGCGAAGUCCCCUUCGGGGGACAAGUAGAGUGGCGCACGGGUGAGUAACACGUAGGUAAUCUACCUUCGGGUGGGGAAUAACAACCGGAAACGGUUGCUAAUACCGCAUAAUGCAGCGGCACCUAAUGGUGACAGUUGUUAAAGCGGGGGAUCGCAAGAUCUCGCGCCUGAAGAGGAGCCUGCGGCGGAUUAGCUAGUUGGUAGGGUAAUGGCCUACCAAGGCGACGAUCCGUAGCCGGCCUGAGAGGGCGGUCGGCCACACUGACACUGACAUACGGGUCAGACUCCUACGGGAGGCAGCAGUCGGGAAUUUUGGGCAAUGGGCGAAAGCCUGACCCAGCAACGCCGCGUGAAGGAUGAAAUCCCUCGGGAUGUAAACUUCGCAAGAACGGGAAGAAUAAGUUUGUGCUAAUACCACAAGCGAUGACGGUACUGUUUGUAAGCUCCGGCUAACUCCGUGCCAGCAGCCGCGGUAAUACGGGGGGAGCAAGCGUUGUUCGGAUUUACUGGGCGUAAAGGGCGCGUAUGCGGCCUCCGCAAGUCAGUUGUGAAAUCUCCGAGCUUAACUCGGAAAGGUCAACUGAUACUGCAGGGCUAGAGUGCGGAAUGGGCAACUGGAAUUCUUGGUGUAGCGGUGAAAUGCGUAGAUAUCAAGAGGAACACCUGCGGCGAAGC
rnacentral:rRNA from 1 species